UGCAUCUGCGGCCCGAAGAGGAUGAGAACCUCCGGGGGGAGGUUCGACUCGAGCGUAGCGAGAGAACGUUGCGUCA
rnacentral:sRNA from 1 species